CAGCAGCCGCGGUAAUGCGUAGGUGGCAAGCGUUGUCCGGAAUUAUUGGGCGUAAAGGGCUCGCAGGCGGUUUCUUAAGUCUGAUGUGAAAGCCCCCGGCUCAACCGGGGAGGGUCAUUGGAAACUGGGAAACUUGAGUGCAGAAGAGGAGAGUGGAAUUCCACGUGUAGCGGUGAAAUGCAUAGAGAUGUGGAGGAACACCAGUGGCGAAGGCGACUCUCUGGUCUGUAACUGACGCUGAGGAGCGAAAGCGUGGGGAGCGAACAGGAUUAGAUACCCCUGUAGUCCCUGUCUCUUAUAU
rnacentral:rRNA from 1 species